rnacentral:tRNA from 1 species
AGGAACUUAGGAUAAACAUAAACCAAAGGCCUUCAAAGCCUUAAACAAGAGACAACUCUUAGUGCCUG